AUGGCACCCCGCAUACGACUGACUAUAUCAAAACCUCUCCCAACCAUCUGUGAAACCCAGGAGGAAAUUUUAGAAGAUGUAACCAGCAAUGCAGAAGGCUUUGGGAGCUUCUCUAUCAACUCAGAUUCUUGUUCCAGUGACGACUACCUUCAAUCUAUCUGCCAUUUAGCAAGACCCACCUUCCCAGUGCUUCCUGAAAACAACUGCGUGUUCCAAGACAAGAAGGUAUUAGAAACACUCCAAAGAGUGUCCUGGUUCCCAAAGCUGGCAGUGGCACAGCGCGUCAUUCCAAAGUGCAAGCUGACCAACAUCUUCUCAGACAUGAUGUCUUUAGAAAAAGUUAGUUUAGUACUUGACAAUGCAAAGCUACACCCCUGUACCAGGGCUGACCCACUGGAACAGUUGUACGCACAAGCGGAGAAGACACGAUGCUACAGGGGUUCUGUUUAUGGUGAAAGCUCUGGCACUGAUGACAUACAGCGUAGCCAUUUCAGCCCUUGUGAUACCAGGAGGGGGGAUGAAAUUCAUCCAUCCACCUCUCAAGAAAAAACAGAGAAACAAGAUCUAGCUGGGGUCUUCAGUUUUCCAAGGCUUCCCUCUCCAAGACCAAUAGAGAGAGAAAGUAGCUGCUCAGAGCAGAAGUGUCUGAAAAGCAAUAAGAUAACGGCUGUUUCUGAAAACAAUCAAACUCAGAAAGAAAAUUGCACCAUAUUCAUUGAUGGUAAAUGGAUAUGGCCACACCCACCAAGACAGAAACUGCAGGGAAACAAGGUUUUGAGCUGCCCUCCACGAAGACAAUGUGUUGUGUUCAAAACAGCAGGUGCUACUGAAAAAGAAGAGCUGAAAUCUUCUAGCUAUAACCAAACUGUAAAGGGAGAUGUUCUUAAUAAGCAACGUUACCCACAAUGCUUUCAUGUAGAUAAAAAAGCCAUGACCCACAGCUGGAUGUCUGAGUGCAAGUGUGCCUGGAAAGGGGCAAAGGUUAAUGCUUGCCUACUUCCUGCCAUCGCAGAAAUAUGA
rnacentral:lncRNA from 1 species